rnacentral:rRNA from 1 species
GACGAACGCUGGCGGCGUGCUUAACACAUGCAAGUCGAACGCUGAAGCUGGGUGCUUGCACCUGGUGGAGGAGUGGCGAACGGGUGAGUAACACGUGAGCAACCUGCCCCUGACUCUGGGAUAAGCGCUGGAAACGGCGUCUAAUACUGGAUACGAGACGCGGCCGCAUGGUCAGUGUCUGGAAAGAUUUAUUGGUUGGGGAUGGGCUCGCGGCCUAUCAGCUAGAUGGUGAGGUAAUGGCUCACCAUGGCGACGACGGGUAGCCGGCCUGAGAGGGUGACCGGCCACACUGGGACUGAGACACGGCCCAGACUCCUACGGGAGGCAGCAGUGGGGAAUAUUGCACAAUGGGCGCAAGCCUGAUGCAGCAACGCCGCGUGAGGGAUGACGGCCUUCGGGUUGUAAACCUCUUUUAGUAGGGAAGAAGCGCAAGUGACGGUACCUGCAGAAAAAGCACCGGCUAACUACGUGCCAGCCGCCGCCGUAACAC